AGGAGAAUAGAGAGUUAUAGAGUUAUCAAGUCACUGGUUAAGAUAAGGAAAAAAGAAACAAGGAGAUAAGUUAAAAUAAUCGCUUCGGAGCCCAAAUCAGCUUGCAGGUGAAAGAAGAGAAACGAAACACAGUCACGGAUGCUCUGAUGCAGUCGGGUCCCACUUCAGGAGGGAAGGCUUACUCCCCAGCUGCUGGGAGGCUGCCCACUGACAGGCUCGGUUGUCACCCCGCACAGGGCACCUCACCCCAGUCACACCCCUCCCCAGGUGGUCACAGCCCAUGCCUGACUGAUGUGAGGGUAUAAAGGCCCAGCCCCCUUUGCAGGUCUGGGGGGUCACCAGCUGCAGAGCACCCAAAGGACCUGAGCCCUUUCGGAGACUGACCACAGCUCCAUUCCUCCCUCUGCCCAGCAUGCCCUCCUCCCACCUCUUCCCUUCCCACGUGGAUCCCAAGUAAGAAAGCCCCUCGCUCUCACCUCCAUCUGAGUCGGCUUCCCGGGACCCGUGCAAUAGAAUCCCAAAUGUGAAAGCUUUACAUUCCCGUGCAGAGCAGGGGACAAUCAUCUGGACCACUUGGGGACACGAACUCUUUGUCGUCACAUAGGACAGACUGAGGGACUGGGAUGUUUCUGUUUUUCCCAUCUGAGGAACAGGCUUGCAGACCGGGCCC
rnacentral:lncRNA from 1 species